GCCUUGAAGAGGGGUAGAUAUGAGGAGGCACCACUGAGGAAAAGCCUGGAACAGCUUCUUGAUCCUCCCUCCAGGAAAAAGAGACAUACAGGAAGCUGGGAAGAACUCUAGAGAUCAUAGCCGCGGCAUUCCAUCCCUGCAUGUUCAAGAUUCAGACUAUGGGUCCACGUAGCUCAUUGAAUUCUAGGCCAGGGAAUCAAAGUCUGGAAUGACCCCACACAGGUCCCUGCUCAAGUCAGAGCCCCACUGGAACAUUCUGCCUCAUGCCCACUGAUGGAGAUAUUUCAAGGGAUUGCGGUAAGCACUAAAUGAAUCCUUCUAAAGCUCUGGACAGAGGCCUGGCGAGUUGUGACGACAUGAUGAUGUCCACUCUCAGCUGGAAAUAGAAAUGGCAGGCUUGCUGUGGUUGAAGUGGGCUGGGGGGUCUUCACACGAGGCCCAGCUGCGCUUUGGCAUGGACCCAGCUACCAGCUAUGCUUGGCUGCCCUCAGCUACUCCUGUGCAGAAGUCAGUGAACGUGCACCUAUAUCGUGGCUAUGAGACACUCAGUGUGAAACUGCACAUGUGCACGGCAUCUGAAGCAGUGGAUUUGCUUGAGUGGCAGCACCCAUGUUUGUGCAACCCCGUGUUUCUUAGAUGAAAAUGGAGCAAUCCUCCUGCACGUGUGUGCUCCCAUCUAAGGGCGUAGGAUUCAGCACUGCGAGUCAUACUUUCCACUGGAAUUGCUUUCCUGGACUCUGGUGACCUUUGAUUAAUGUCCACUUGACCCUUGAACGACACAAGUUUGAACCACACCACUCACUUGCAUGUGGAUUUUCUUCCGCCUCUGCCACCCCUGAGACAAGGCCAACCCCUCCUCCUCCUCCUCUUCCUUAUGAUUUUCUAAAUGACAUUGUCUUAGCAUAUAGCACAUGUAACAUACAAAAUACAUGUUAGUCAACUGUUUGUGUUAUCAGCAAGGCUUCUGGUCAACAGUAGGCUAUGAAUAGUUGUGUUUUUGGUGAAUCAAAAGUUAUACGUGGAUUUUCAACAGCCCAGGGGGGUGGAGUUGGUACCCUUAAGGUCAAAUAUAUUAGUCAAUUAAAAUACAUUGAUUAGGCCUACUUUAUAAUCAAAACUAGACUGGCCAUUACCAGGACUGCUCUUCUGUUUUAGAUACAAUCCCGCCCUCUGGGAGAUUAAAAUGUAAGUGGAAAGAGACAUGUGUCAUGUUCAGAAAUGGUUGAAUUCAGAGUGUGUCUGUCACAAAAAACAUGAAUGUUGGAAUCAUUGACGA